rnacentral:rRNA from 1 species
CCCUUAGAUGUUCUCGGCCGCACACGCGCUACACUGAAAGAGGCAACGUGUUUGCCUGAUUCGAAAGAAUUGGGUAACCCCCUAAUCUCUUUCGUGCUGGGGAUUGAGGUUUGCAAUUAUCCUUCAUGAACGAGGAAUUCCCAGUAAGUGCGAGUCAUUAUCUCGCGCUGACUACGUCCCUGCCCUUUGUACACACCGCCCGUCGCUACUACCGAUUGAAUGAUUUAGUGAUGACUUCGGACUGAGUCCAAUGCGGCUUUCGGGCUGCGUUGGUAUUUCGGAAAGAUGUCCAAACUGUAUCAUUUAGAGGAAGUAAAANUCGUAACA